ensembl:lncRNA PCBP1-AS1 PCBP1 antisense RNA 1
GAACACAAAAUGGCGACACGUGAGGAAGACAAACAUAAAGAUGAAGUGCUUAAUUCAAGGUCACACAAUGUCGGGGAUGGACCUCCAGAUUUCCUUACUGACCUGCAUUAUCUUGUGGAUACCUGAGUGAAUUCCACACCACCCAUUUUAUAGAUGAAACCACUGAGACAUGGAGCAAUUGACUGAGUAGUCACUGCCCCACCCCUGCCUGGAGCCUCACACAUGACUCGCCUCCUCUCAGUGACCACAGGUUGGUUGAGGGGUUUAACAAGGCUAAGAAGGAAAACAAGCUCAGGGCUCCCACUGAUUGUACAUUAUGAGACGGAGUCUUGCUAUGUUGCCCAGGCUGGUCUUGAACUCCUCACCUCAAGCGAUCCUCCCGUCUUGGCCUCCCAAGUGUCAGGAUUACGGGCAUGUGCUAUCACACCCAACCUGAUACAUUGCCUUUAUAAAUUUUUUUUUCUUUAUUCUAAAAACCAGAAAAAACAAAACUGGAUACAUGUGCAGAACAUGCAGGUUUGUUACAUAGCUGUACGUGUGCCAUGGUGGUUUGCUGCACCUAUUGACCUAUCCUGUGAGACGUGGUCUUGUAACACAGUGGUUAAGAAUGUGACUUUGGAGCCAGCCUGCUAGGGGCUGAAUUCUGACUCAGCCAUUUACUAACUGUGUGACCUUAGGCUGGAGUGCAAUGGCAUGAUCUCGGCUCAUCACAACCUCUGCUUCCUGGGUUCAAGCGAUUCUCCUGCCUCAGCCUCCCGAGUACCUGGGACUACAGGCACUCGCCACCAUGCCCGGCUGAUUUUUGUAUUUUUAAUAGAGAUGGUUUCACUAUGUUGGCCAGGCUGGUCUCGAACUCCUGACCUUGUGAUCUGCCCACCUCAGCCUCGAAAAGUGCUGGGAUUACAGGCGUGAGCCACUGCGCCCAGCCUUGUAUUUUUUUUCAGUUUGGGUAGCUGUCCCUAAUUCAUUUGUUAAAGGAGAAGCAAGAGCAAGAACCUUUAAUCUGUUCUCCUCUUCCCUAAUUUGAAAGUAGCUUGUUAUUUUGAAUAUCACUUUCUCUGAAAUAGCACAUCUCCAUCUCAGAGAAUGGAUUUAAUGUUUGGAUACAGCCAAAAGUCAUUUCAUUACCAAACCAUGGGGUGAAUAUACCAUGUAAAGCAGUUUGGGAUCAGAACUCACAGUCUGAAUUGUAAGUGAUGAGACUGCUGUCUCUCUGCUACAGCUUCUUGGCUGGCUCUGAAGGCUCUUUGAAGGCAGAUCCUAACAAGGGGACUGCUUUGAAGGGCCAUUGUUCAUUUGGAAUGAUAAAGUCUAUGUUGUUCAAAAAACAAAUGCUUGUAGCAGGUAUUUUUUCACUCCAGACUGAGAAUAUUGGUGGGAUAUUGAUAAGGGGUACUGAAUGGUAAUAAACAUGUGCUCUAGCUCUGUGCUAGUCAGCUUAUUUCAGAACUCUAGUUUGAUUCAGUUUCUUGCCUCUGACUCAAAAUGGAGGGAGAGUGAUUUUUACAUAAGAGAACACACCCACAUAUCCUUUUGGCAGCAGCUACCUGCCAGAGAUGUUGAAGAAGAGUAGCCAACCUUUACACAGCAGAUAUUGUGUGCCAGUCAUAGUCCUAAGUAUAAUACCUUACAUGUAUAAACUUCUUAUAAGGUUGGUGCUCUGUACCGAAUUGAAUAGUAUCCCCCAAAAUUCAUGUUGUCCCAGAACCUAUGAAAGUGAUCUUACUUGAGGGAGGGGGGAGGGGGGAGGGAUAGCAUUAGGAGAUAUACCUAAUGCUAAAUGACGAGUUAAUGGGUGUAGCACACCAGCAUGGCACAUGUAUACAUAUGUAACUAACCUGCACAUUGUGCACAUGUACCCUAAAACUUAAAGUAUAAUAAUAAUAAAAUAAAAAAAAAAAAGAAAGUGAUCUUACUUGGAAAUAAGGUCUUUGCACAUAUGAUCAAGUUGAGAUGAAGUUGUACUGGAAAGUCUGUCUAGUGACUGGUGUUGUCAUAAGAAGAGAGGGACACAGAGGGAAGAUGGCCACAUGAAGAUGGAGGCAGAGAUUGCAGUUAUGCUGCUGCAAACUAAGGAAUGGCUCUGGCCCUCCAAGGAUUGCUGAUAACCACCAGAAACUAGAAGAGACAAGGAAGGAUUCUUCCCUAGAGCCUUCAGAGGGAGCAUGGCCCUACUGACACCUGGAUUUCAAACUUGUAGCUUCCUAAACUGCAAG